AGAGUUUGAUCAUGGCUCAGGACGAACGCUGGCGGCGUGCCUAAUACAUGCAAGUCGAGCGAACUUCGUUGGAGCUUGCUCCCGAAGGUUAGCGGCGGACGGGUGAGUAACACGUGGGCAACCUGCCUGUAAGACUGGGAUAACUUCGGGAAACCGGAGCUAAUACCGGAUAAUCCUUUUCCUCACAUGAGGGAGAGCUG
rnacentral:rRNA from 1 species